AUGCGCCGCCGCUCCUCCCUUCCCCUCCUCACGCCGUCCCUCUCCCCGCGCCUGCAAGGAUGGCCAUCUUCUCUCGCCGCCUCCUCCUUCCCUCCAGAGCCACCGCGCCGCGGCUUCCCCCUCCCUCCUAGCGUCGUUGACGCACCCCGCGCCAAGGUCCCAGCCGAACGGCGGCAACUAUUGUCUGCGUCAUUCCUCGCGCGCCUGAGAGAACUGCUCGCCGCUGAGUCCGUCCCACUGCAAGCAUGCAGCACUGCGAUCUACUUGCUCCUCCCUCGCCGUAGGCAGGCAGAUGGUGAGGAACCUUAA
rnacentral:rRNA from 1 species